GUGAUGGCAGCUUCGGUGAGGAGUUUGAGGGACUGCAGGAGGGCUUGGGGCCCAGGGAGUCCCAGGGGUCUCUGUGAGGGAGCUGGGGUGUCCGAGCGAGCAGGGAACUCUGGAAGGGGACAGGAGCUGGGGGAGCUGCAGGCGGCCGCCGUCUGCAGAGCCAGGCCCUGAGGCGGGCCGGCGCCCCCUCCCCCGCCCCCGUGUCGCCCCCGCCCCGAACUGCGGCGCAGGCGCGAACCGAGCCCGCUUUCGCUCGGCGGAGACGGCAGGCAGAGAGAUGAGGAAACUGAGACCCAGAAAGGUGGAAGCACUUGUCUAAGGUCACGCCUCCAGGAAGCAGUGUGUCCACGACUCCAGUCCAAGUGGUCAGGCUCCAGAGCCCACAGUCCCAACUCGGCCUGUCCUCGGGGACCCUGCUUCUGCUGCUGGGUGUGGCGGCUCUGACCACUGGCUAUGCAGUGCCCCCCAAGCUGGAGGGCAUCGGUGAGGGAGAGUUCCUGGUGUUGGAUCAGCGGGCAGCCGACUACAACCAGGCCCUGGGCACCUGUCGCCUGGCAGGCACAGCGCUCUGUGUGGCAGCUGGAGUUCUGCUCGCCAUCUGCCUCUUCUGGGCCAUGACAGGCUGGCUGAGCCAGGACACCAAGGCAGAGCCCUUGGACCCCGAAGCCGACAGCCACGUGGAGGUCUUCGGGGAUGAGCCAGAGCAGCAGUUGUCACCCAUUUUCCGCAAUGCCAGUGGCCAGUCAUGGUUCUCGCCACCCGCCAGCCCCUUUGGGCAAUCUUCUGUGCAGACUAUCCAGCCCAAGAGGGACUCCUGAGCUGCCCACAUGGCCUAAGAUGUGGGUCCUGGAUCCUUCCCCCU
rnacentral:sRNA from 1 species